rnacentral:rRNA from 1 species
CCCUUAGAUGUUCUGGGCCGCACGCGCGCUACACUGACGAUGGCAACGAGUUUUUCCUUCGCCGAAAGGUGUGGGUAAUCUUUUGAAACAUCGUCGUGCUGGGGAUAGAUCAUUGCAAUUUUUGAUCUUGAACGAGGAAUUCCUAGUAAGCGCGAGUCAUCAGCUCGCGUUGAUUACGUCCCUGCCCUUUGUACACACCGCCCGUCGCUCCUACCGAUUGAAUGGUCCGGUGAGAACUCCGGAUCACGCUGGGCGAUGCUGGUUCGCCAGUGACGCCUGCGAGAGAAGUUGUUCAAACCUUACCAUUUAGAGGAAGGAGAAGUCGUGACA